GACGUGGUCUACCUGGAACAUGGAGCAUCUGAAGCUGCUGCUGCUGCUGCUGUGGAGCUCAGGAGUCCAUCUUGAAGAUAGAAACCGUCCAGCUGAGGCUGAUGAUGAGUUCAGGUUGGUGGGAGGAAGCUCUGGCUGCUCAGGUGGAGUGGAGCUGAAACACCUCGGAGAAUGGAGACCAGUGGAUGACGAUUUCUGGAACCUGAAGUUAUCAACUGC